rnacentral:rRNA from 1 species
UACGUAGGGUGCGAGCGUUGUCCGGAAUUAUUGGGCGUAAAGAGCUCGUAGGCGGUGUGUCACGUCGGCCGUGAAAACCUGCAGCUUAACUGUGGGCGUGCGGUCGAUACGGGCAUCACUGGAGUUCGGCAGGGGAGACUGGAAUUCCUGGUGUAGCGGUGAAAUGCGCAGAUAUCAGGGGGAACACCGGUGGCGAAGGCGGGUCUCUGGGCCGAUACUGACGCUGAGGAGCGAAAGCGUGGGGAGCAAACAGG